AAAAUUGCUUUAAACAAAAGUGAACAUUCACAAAGAUUGGAAAGGAUAAUUGGGACGUCUUCAGUGCUCUCCCAAAGUUACCAUGAUCUCCAAAAGGGUAAGACAUUUGUUCAUAUUCCUAGCAUAUUUUUUAUCCUCUUCAUCAUCUCAGGUUGUCUCCUCCGCGAGCACAGAAGAAGAUUAUGCAUCACCAAAUUCCCCAAGGAAUCUG
rnacentral:lncRNA from 1 species